rnacentral:misc_RNA from 2 species
AACGCACCUUGCGCCCUUUGGUAUUCCGAAGGGCAUGCCUGUUUGAGUGUCAUUAAAUUCUCAACUUCAAGAUGCUUUGUUGCAUUUUUUGAAGCUUGGACUUUGGAGGAUUUUUGCCGGCAUCACUGUCAGCUCCUCUUAAAUGCAUUAGCGGAACUUUAUUAAGGACCAGCUUUGGUUUGAUAAUCCUAUCUAUGCCGUCGCUGUGGACUUUGCCUGUUCGGCUUCUAAUGGUCUUCGGACUGUCUCUCCAAUGAGGCAUACACUUUUAAGCUUGACCUCAAAUCAGGUAGGACUACCCGCUGAACUUAA